GCCACCAAUCAGCUCUGUUUCAAUGAUGUUGUCUUUGUUGUGUGUUGUUGUUUGACUUUUGUUUGUGUUGAGGCAAAGGGUUGAAACCGUAGGAUUUUACAAUAAUUUAAUAGGCUGCAAUAAUUUCGCUGCGAACGAAGUCAGUACUAGCAGAAUAUAUUCAUUUACAGGCAGUGGCAGUUGCCCAAUAACAAAGUAAAUUAAAAUAAAAUUUUAUUUUCUUUUCGAUCACAUAUGAAAAAAGUCUUACAACGAAUGGUUAUCAUGAACCAAUAUAGAACUAUUGUUGUCUUAUUCUAUCGCCUUGAAAUUGAUUAAAAUAAUAUGUUUAAUUACAUAACUGAGAGUGAGAAAAAUGCUCACGGCCAACUAUUUCGUCAAUAAAUUUGUAACAAAACAAAACCAUCUUAAAACUACAUAACAAAACAAAAUGUUCAAUAACAUAUGUGGUAGUUUUAUCAUAAAGCGAUUCUAUGAAUGUGUGUAGAUAUGUAUAUGUGUAAAUCACGUACAAUGUAUUGUAUAAUUCUAUAGUACAAGAAUGUAUGUAGUAUGUAUGUAUGUAUAUCACAGUUUGCUGAUUAAUAUAAAAGUAAAUACUAAACGAAAGUACAGGUACAAGGAAUUUUUGAAAACGAAAAAAUAUACUUAAAUAUAUGUAAACAAGUGUUGCAAUUGAUUUUUAAAUUAUAGAGAAAGAGUGAUAUUUUUCAUUUUUUCUAUCCUCUGUACGAACCAGACAUUGUCUUCAUAAAAAAUUGUGGUAUAAUGUAUUGGAUUGGAUCAUUGUCGAAGUUUUCGUUAAGUAUUCCAAAUAAAUAAAAAAAUACAUGCUGACCCAGGCCAAGAAUUGUUUUUCUCAGACUCAUUUAUUUCGUUUAUUAAAGCGUUUUCGUGCAUUUCAAGUUUUUCAACAAACUUUUUUGUGGCAUAUUGCGUACGUGCAAAGAGGCAUAACAGCGGAUGUAUUAUAAACGACUUUACGCUCUUAAAUGUACAACUCUUUGGCUAUUGUAUAUUCAGUCUUACAUGUGAAUUGAAUUUCAUCAAUUUGGCAUCAAGGUUAUGCCAAAGUACUUGAUUUCAGAUUUGAAUGGGAUUUCAACACUCUCAACAUCAACAUUUAAAUCAAUCAGUUUAUAGAUAAUUGAUUUGUGACAGACCGAAUCAAAUGCUUUUUCGAUUUCCAAGGAAAUAGCCACAGUACAGAUUUGAUGUUAUGUCACUGUGAUAUUUCAAAAGGGCAUGUUGGGUGGAAUGUUCCUUUUUAAAGCCAAAUUGAAAAUCAGAAAUAGGGUUAAUAAUGAAUUCAUUUUCAAUUUUUUCCUUUAGGACAAGCUCAAAAACUUUCCCGACAUUUGAUAACAGUGAGACUGGACGAAAAUCACCAGGAAUAUCGCUAUUUGCCUUUUUUAAUUGAGAUUAUGUUGGUUAAUUUCUAAACAGCCGGAAAAUAUCCAUUAUUUAUACAAUUGCUGUAUAUACAGAAUUAGUGAACCUAAUCAGUACCUGUCAGGAUUUCCACUGGAGUUGAAAUUCAGCUAUUUCGCAUUCACCAGUGAUGGUUUUAUUAUUCACUUUCAACUGCUGACAGAAAGACGAUUUUCUUUUACCUGCUAUGGAAUAGAUUUCUUUGAAUGCAGAUGGACCAGGAUUGAUUUUUGAUAAUCUGUCAUUAAACUGUUUAGCUUGUCUAGAGCUAAUGUUUCCUUUAUGAUAGUUUUUAACAGCUGGAUUUGUUUAGAUAAAAUUAUAUAUUUACUAUUUCCAUCUCUAUGAAAUGUUCUUUUCAGAUCCUUUUGCCAUUGAUGUUUGAGUUUGAAUAGGUUUUUGGCCUUCUCGGAAAACGCGAAUUUAUGUCCAUUGGUAUGAAUCUUCUGAGAAUUAAAGUCAUAGAUUGUGCCAAGGACCACAUUAAAAUCCUCAAUCAAGGAAUUUAGCUCAUUGUUGGACAGAUUCGCUGUUAAGGAUGCUUCAAAAACUGUUUCAGUCUGUAUUUUUAUAUGAAGUGAAGGGAAGUAAUCCGAGAAUGAUGGCAGGAGGAAAUCUCAGCGUUUUGGAGAAAAUUGUCGAUCAGAUUUGAGUUUAGGAGAUAAUGGUCGAGGAACGAUGAGCCGUUUGGAUAUGACGGGUAAACAUCGCAAAGCCGGGUAGUAUUCAAUGGAUUUUCGUUAAGCCAACUCAGUAGAGUUUCGAAUUCGAGAACCCAAGAUUGGGUUCUCGAACUUAUCUAAAUCAGAUUCCAAUCUCAAGGAAGUAAGUUGAACGUUUCAAAAAUCUUCUACAAAAGAUGGGUCUGUCUUCGAUAGGUUUCAACAUACUGGCAAAAGAUUUACCUGCCUUGGCAGAUCGUCGCUGCCUUGCAGCAACAUUUUUCUUAUAAAUUGGACACCCUUUCCAAUUCGCUGGAUGACCCGAUUCACCACAGUUCUUGCAGAACGGAUCGGAAGUAUUCUCUCGAGUUCUUUGGCAUUGGCCUGGAUCAUGAUCUUGCGCACAUUUUACGCAAUUAUAUGCAGAAUAGCAGUUGCGGGAAAUGUGACCCCAACGUUUGCACCUGUGACACUGAAUGUCACUACUUUUUCGCUUAGGCUUCUCGCAAGAGAUAAUUUAGUGUUCAAUUCCUCGGAUAUGAGAUAUAUCUCAAAUUUCUUUUCCCGGGACGCAACGUCAACAAGAAAAGGCAAGUGUCAAAAUUGUUUUUAGUUGAAGAUGGCGUUUUGAAUUUAGCUACUUCUGCAACACUUUCUGGUACAAGUCUGUCCAACUCAGACUUGAUACCAGUAAUGUCAGAAUCUGCAUACAGAUCUCGAAGCACCAGAGACACUCGUUUCAACUCUUUUGGAGUAAACGUUCUCUUGGCUAUCCAAAGAGCCAUCAUUGAAGUAUCCACCGCCGGGUCUGCGAAGUACAACUUAAUUUUGUUUUUAUUAAUAUUCUUGACUUUGAAUGUAAAAUCAGGAAAAGUAGUCUUCAUUCUGUCUACAAGUGUUUUUAUGUUAACAUUGUAAACAAAUAUAGGGGGGCACCAUUUCGUCUAUGCAAAAAGGGUUACAUCCUUGUUGGUCGGUGCCGCGAUUUCAACCAAAAAAAUAAUAAAAUUGUUUUACAAAAUCUGCGAUAAAAACAAUA